rnacentral:rRNA from 1 species
GUGGGGAAUCUUCCGCAAUGGACGAAAGUCUGACGGAGCGACGCCGCGUGAGUGAAGAAGGCCUUCGGGUCGUAAAGCUCUGUCAUCAGGGACGAACGGCCGGUGGAGUGGAAAGCCACCGGAUUGACGGUACCUGAGAAGGAAGCCACGGCUAACUACGUGCCAGCAGCCGCGGUAAUACGUAGGUGGCAAGCGUUGUCCGGAAUUAUUGGGCGUAAAGCGCGCGCAGGUGGGAUCUUAAGUCCAUUUUGAAAGUUCGGAGCUCAACUCCGUGAUGGGAUGGAAACUGGGAUUCUUGAGUACCGGAGAGGAAAGCGGAAUUCCCCGUGUAGCGGUGAAAUGCGUAGAUAUGGGGAGGAACACCAGUGGCGAAGGCGGGUUCCUGGCCCAUGACUGACGCUGAGGUGCGAAAGCCGGGGGAGCGAACGGGAUUAGAUACCCCGGUAGUCC